rnacentral:rRNA from 1 species
GAACGGGUGAGUAACACGUGGGUGAUCUGCCCUGCACUUUGGGAUAAGCCUGGGAAACUGGGUCUAAUACCGAAUAGGACCACGCGCUUCAUGGUGUGUGGUGGAAAGCUUUUGCGGUGUGGGAUGGGCCCGCGGCCUAUCAGCUUNNNNGUGGGGUAAUGGCCUACCAAGGCGACGACGGGUAGCCGGCCUGAGAGGGUGACCGGCCACACUGGGACUGAGAUACGGCCCAGACUCCUACGGGAGGCAGCAGUGGGGAAUAUUGCACAAUGGGCGCAAGCCUGAUGCAGCGACGCCGCGUGAGGGAUGACGGCCUUCGGGUUGUAAACCUCUUUCAAUAGGGACGAAGCGCAAGUGACGGUACCUAUAGAAGAAGCACCGGCCAACUACGUGCCAGCAGCCGCGGUAAUACGUAGGGUGCGAGCGUUGUCCGGAAUUACUGGGCGUAAAGAGCUCGUAGGUGGUUUGUCGCGUUGUUCGUGAAAACUCACAGCUUAACUGUGGGCGUGCGGGCGAUACGGGCAGACUAGAGUACUGCAGGGGAGACUGGAAUUCCUGGUGUAGCGGUGGAAUGCGCAGAUAUCAGGAGGAACACCGGUGGCGAAGGCGGGUCUCUGGGCAGUAACUGACGCUGAGGAGCGAAAGCGUGGGGAGCGAACAGGAUUAGAUACCCUGGUAGUCCACGCCGUANACGGUGGGUACUAGGUGUGGGUUCCUUCCUUGGGAUCCGUGCCGUAGCUAACGCAUUAAGUACCCCGCC